AAGUCGUAACAAGGUCUCCGUUGGUGAACCAGCGGAGGGAUCAUUGCUGGAAGCGCCGCAAGGCGCACCCAGAAACCCUUUGUGAACUUAUACCUACAUCGUUGCCUCGGCGUUGGCUGCCCCUCCCCCCUAGCGGGGAGGGGGCCCUCCCCCUGUGGGAGGACAGCAGGCCCGCCGGCGGCCCAUUAAACUCUUGUUUUUACCGAGUAACUUCUGAGUAAAGCUUCUAAAUGAAUCAAAACUUUCAACAACGGAUCUCUUGGUUCUG
rnacentral:misc_RNA from 1 species